rnacentral:lncRNA from 1 species
CCUUACAGAUACUCCUGCUCUAUCAUCAAAGGAAGAAUCAGAAGAGAUUUCUGAUCAUACCUCUGAUGUCCAGCCUUCUUCUUCUGUAAUGUACUUACCCUUAUUUUUAACUUUUUCUCUUUAACAUGCCCAAUACUUAUUUUUCCUUCUGUUUCCUUCCUAUCUGCAGUCGAUUCCAGUUUCUCCAUCGGUCCCAGCUUCAGAGAAAAGACCGAUUGAAACUGCACAAUCUAAUCCUCUGCCGCCUCCAAAACAGCGCAAAUCAGUUGCUAAAAGACCACAUUCUAAGAGAGCCGAGAAUAUUUCAUCGGCUGACAUCUCAGAAAA